AACAAGGUUUCCGUAGGUGAACCUGCGGAAGGAUCAUUGUUGAGAUCUCAUAAUAAUUGUUCGAGUUAAUCCAGAGGAUCAGUUUACUUUGGUCACCCAUGGGCGCUUGCUAUUGCGGUGACCUAGAUUUGCCACGGAGCCUCCUUGGGAGCUUUCCUGCCGGCGAUCUAAACCUUGUCCGGCGCAGUUUUGCGCCAAGUCAWAUGACGCARAAUUGGUGAAGGGCAUAGCCCUUCGUGAAUUCAAGGAGGGGGCGGACUCCCCCUCUCAGAUUAUUUUUUUUGAACAACUCUCAGCAACGGAUAUCUCGGCUCUUGCAUCGAUGAAGAACGCAGCGAAAUGCGAUAAGUGGUGUGAAUUGCAGAAUCCCGUGAACCAUCGAGUAUUUGAACGCAAGUUGCGCCCAAGGCCAUCAGGCCAAGGGCACGCCUGCCUGGGCAUUGCGAGUCAUAUCUCUCCCUUAAUGAGGCUGUCCGUGCAUACUGUUCAGCCGGUGCGGAUGAGUGUUUGGCCCCUCGUUCUUUGGUGMGGGGGGUCUAAGAGCUGCAUGGGCUUUUUGAUGGUCCUAAAUUCGGCAAGAGGUGGACGAAUCAUGCAACAACAAAACUGUUGUGCGAAUGCUCCAUGUUGUCGUAUUAGAUGGGCCAUCAUAAUCUAAAGACCCUUAUGAACCACAUUGCAUCAACCCAUGAUCCGUUGAUGGCCAUUUGGUUGCGACCCCAGGUCAGGUGAGGCAAC
rnacentral:rRNA from 1 species